UGAACGCUGGCGGCGUGCCUAAUACAUGCACGUCGAGCGAACGGACGAGAAGCUUGCUUCUCUGAUGUUAGCGGCGGACGGGUGAGUAACACGUGGAUAACCUACCUAUAAGACUGGGAUAACUUCGGGAAACCGUAGCUAAUACCGGAUAAUAUUUUGAACCGCAUGGUUCAAAAGUGAAAGACGGUCUUGCUGUCACUUAUAGAUGGAUCCGCGCUGCAUUAGCUAGUUGGUAAGGUAACGGCUUACCAAGGCAACGAUGCAUAGCCGACCUGAGAGGGUGAUCGGCCACACUGGAACUGAGACACGGUCCAGACUCCUACGGGAGGCAGCAGUAGGGAAUCUUCCGCAAUGGGCGAAAGCCUGACGGAGCAACGCCGCGUGAGUGAUGAAGGUCUUCGGAUCGUAAAACUCUGUUAUUAGGGAAGAACAUAUGUGUAAGUAACUGUGCACAUCUUGACGGUACCUAAUCAGAAAGCCACGGCUAACUACGUG
rnacentral:rRNA from 1 species